UAUACACUCACUACGCAAGUUGCAUAGCGCCCCGCAAACUACGCAAGGGCCCCACCUAUCAGGGGGUAUCAAUGUUACAACAAUGGUACAACUUAGAUGAGAGGAUGACGCGGAACUAUCUUUCUGGUCACGAAAAGAGAAAAAAAAAACACCAUGAGAAUGAAUUGCGGGAACAGCAAUCAGGUAAACUUGUAUUCUCUCCUCUCCAAGUUUGAUGUCAGCAAAUAACAGUAACGUUAAGUUGAUGUGCUAGCUUGCAGUGCAUCUCUCUCUAGUAUAUCUGUCUUGCUAACCUAGCUGGGCCGUGCAUCUGGUCUGUCUGUGUCUUGCUUGCUUACCAGCCACUUCCAGUGUUCUGUGACUUUGUGCCUGACAAAAGUGAGAGUGAAAUACGUAAAGGAAUAAACCACGAUGGGCUGUCCCGUAUUAUUUUACCGUUGUCAAGCAAAACUCUCGUUGGUAGUUUAUUUGGACCGUUGUUAAGCAAAAACCUCUAGUUGUUAAUUCUAUGAAAACAAUUCCAUCGAGAAAAAUAGUUCCUUCUCGUUUUAUACCAUAUCAUUUUUUGUCAUUUUUUGCAUUACAUUAUUUAAGAAAACUGCAUGAAACCGGGUUUGAAUGCCAGCUAUCUUUAGGUUCACCGUCACUUGUCAGUGUUGUCACCUAGACUAUAUUAAAAUUCUGGGUUUUAGGUCAGAAUGGUCUCACGGCAUGAUUGUUAUCCCGGCUAGCUAGCUAACUAUUGAAUUGUAUUCAAAAGAGCGGUUAAGAUAAACGCAAUCGUUACAAAGAUACGGAUGAAAAUGCGUCCCAUAGCCAUGACUUAAAUACGGAAUGCCUAUAUUCUACUGUCAAAGUAAGGGACGAUUCCGUAUUUUGCGAUAUGGUUGGCAUUCCUAAAUGAAGCCAGUAACUAGAACCGUGAUUCAACGCUGCCAUCAGUUGCGAAAUUGGAGAGGAUAACAAAAGGUGUCCCUUUAUAAUUAAUUAAUCAUGGCCUGAAGUGAGCUAUUGCUUUUAUAAAACGGUCAACGGUAUGACAAUAUGAAAGUAAUAAACACACUCCAAUUUAAAUAGUUUUAAAACAUUUUUUUUUCCUCAGACGCGGAGUGAUACUGAAUUGUGCAAAGGAAUUAGACGUCAUAGCCGUGGUGGUUAAUAUACCACGGCUAUGAAACCAAUCAGAUUGCUUGAUUUGAGCUACCCGUUUUAUAAUGCUUAAUUAUUACGUCUGAUAAACGCCAACGGGCAACUGUGUUUAUAAACUGCAGCUCAGAAAAGAUAACCGCGUCGCACGUGAACAUGCGUUCAUAUGCGCAUGCACGAAAUGAAACUCGCGCUUUCCAGCAGCAACCUCUGUGGAGUCCAGUCCAGACAAUAUAUGAGCGUGAUGGCACUCCUCAUAGGUGCACAUAAUUUUAAAACAAGACAAUGAUUAUCUAGUCUCUCAGUAAAGGUUUAGAUCUGGACUAAUGUAAGAUGGAAAGCAAUGGAUUGACAUUGACUAAUCAAAUAUUCUUAUUCUUAGAACGACAGAUAGAGCAAACUGUUUUAAAGGAGGGAGGACUGUAGCGUCAGGUGUGACUGUGUGGCAAUGUGAAAUGGUUUACAUGGCUCACGGGUCAGGUAGGAGGGCCCCUUAGCAGAAUUUUGCUUAGGGCCCCAGCGAGGUCAGGACUGGCUCUGCUGCCCAGUACACCCACAAUCCUCUAUUGUUGGCCACUGAGCAGCUCCACUGGAGGGAGAGUACAUUUUUUAGCCAAUUAAAUCAGGGUCACCCUGAUUUAAGGUGGCAAGUUUUUGUGAGAGCCAGAUCUGGGAUUUUAGCCAGGACACUGGGGAACCCCCUCCUCUUUGCGAAUAGUGUCAUGGGAUCUUGAUUGACCACAGUGAGUCAGGACCUCGGUCUAACAUCUCAUCCGAAAGACGGCAUCUCCUACAGCACAGUGUCCCCGUCCCUGCACUGGGGCAUUGGGGUUUAUUUGACCAGAGGGAAUAUUUCCCCCUGCUGGCCCACCAACACCAACACCACUUCCAGCAGCAACUCAGUAUUCCCUGGUGGUCUCCCUUCCAAGUACUAACCAAGCCCCCACCUGCUUAGCUUCAGCCAGUCAGCCGGAGCAGAGUGUGUGGUGGUAUGGCUGCUGGCAUAACGAGGACUCCAAAAUCACUAAGACCAAAUCACAAACAAUACGAAAAUGGCUGCUGCCGGCAAUCCGCCUCGUAAUCGUGUCAACAUUUAGAAGCAUUUAAUGAUACUGAGCUUUUAAAAAGGUAUCGCCUUAAUCGUGAGGGUAUUAUGAUAAUAGUAGAGCUAGUCAGGGAUGCAGUCACUUCACUAACAAACAUAAACAACCCAAUGACACCGGACAUCAAGGUUCUGACAAGUCUACGCUACUUGGCCACAGGGAAAAUGCAGCUAUGCAGCGCAGACGAACUAGGUAUAUCUCAGUCAUCUGUCAGUAGAAUAUUACAUCAAACAAUAAAUGCCCUCUCCAGACCCCACAUCAUCCAACAAUUCAUACGGUUUCCUCGUGAUGUCCGCCAACUAUAAAGAAACAAAGCCCACUUCAUGGCCAUAGCUGGACUACCCGGUGUAGUUGGUGCUAUAGAUGGGACACAUGACCAAAUUAUUGCACCAUCACAAGAUGAACACACAUUUGUCAACAGAAAAAAAAAUCAUAGCAUCAACAUACAGGUGGUUUUUGAUGCCAACUACAAUAUUCUUGACAUUUGCACCAAGUGGCCAGGCUCAACACAUGACUCCCGGAUCCUACAGGAGAGUGGCCUGAGGCUGCUGUUUGAGAGGCAUCAUGUCCCAGCUGGAUAUCACUUGUUGGGGGACAGAGGCUAUCCCUGCAGGAUGUGGCUCCUCACGCCUUACAUCCACCCACACCCGGGACCUCAGUUCAAUUACAACAGAGCCCACAAGAAAACUCGCAGUGUUGUGGAAAGGGGCAUUGGGCAGAUGAAAUGUCAUUUUCAUGCGCUACAUGGGGAAAUCUGGCUAACUCCAUAGAAAGCAAGCAGGAUCACCACUGUCUGUGCCAUUCUGCACAACCUGUGCCAGCAACGCAAUAUCCCACCGCCAGAGGGGUAUGAAGAUGAUGAUGAUGAUGAUGAUAAUGCUGUUGACGAUGACGACAAUGUUGCUGCCGCUGAUGAUGAUGAAGGCGGAGUGGCUGUUCACGUACGACAUGGACUGGCAUGGGACAGGGACCACUUCACCAAUACACACUUUGGAGAUGCUGAUGGAGCAGGACCACCAUCAGCUGCUGCAGGACUGACAGGAGCAGGGACUGGAGAGAGGGUGGCAGGAG